rnacentral:sRNA from 1 species
GGCUUGGCUCCAGGGCCCAGGAGGAACUGCUGCUGCUCUUCACCAUGGCCUCGCUGCACCCGGCUUUCUCCUUCCACCAGCGGGUCACCCUGAGGGAACACUUGGAGAGGCUCCGCGCCGCGCUCCGCGGGGGCCCCGAGGACGCGGAGGUGGAGGUAGAGCCGUGCAAGUUUGCCGGCCCCAGGGCCCAGAACAACUCUGCUCAUGGUGAUUACAUGCAAAAUAACGAGAGCAGCUUAAUAGAGCAAGCUCCAAUACCUCAGGACGGACUUACCGUGGCACCUCACAGAGCUCAGCGAGAAGCUGUACACAUUGAGAAGAUAAUGUUGAAAGGAGUCCAGAGAAAAAGAGCUGACAAAUACUGGGAGUACACUUUCAAACUUCCAAAGGAACUGUCUUCAGAGACUUUUGACAAGACCAUCUUAAGAGCCCUGAAUCAGGGUUCCUUGAAAAGGGAGGAACGGCGACAUCCUGACCUAGAGCCCAUCCUAAGAUGUGUUGCAGCAUGCCAUAAUCCACAAGAAGCAUACUGGGAAAAGUCCCAUUGUGAACAAUAUUGGUACAAGUUGUUCUCCAUUGGAUGGGCUUACCAUGCAAUAUUCUGAACA